rnacentral:rRNA from 1 species
GAGUGUGAUCAUACCAGUAGUAAUGCAUAGGAUCCCAUCAAAACUCCGUAGUUAAGCGUGCUUUCGGGAUAGUAGUACUAUGAUGGGUGACCUUCCGGGAAAUGCUCGUGUUGCACCUC